CAGUCGAGCGAGAUCUUCGGAUCUAGCGGCGGACGGGUUAGUAACGCGUGGGAACGUACCCAAAGGUAGGGAAUAGCCACUGGAAACGGUGAGUAAUACCCUAUGUGCCCUUCGGGGGAAAGAUUUAUCGCCUUUGGAUCGGCCCGCGUUAGAUUAGAUAGUUGGUGGGGUAAUGGCCUACCAAGUCUACGAUCUAUAGCUGGUUUUAGAGGAUGAUCAGCAACACUGGGACUGAGACACGGCCCAGACUCCUACGGGAGGCAGCAGUGGGGAAUCUUAGACAAUGGGCGAAAGCCUGAUCUAGCCAUGCCGCGUGUGUGAUGAAGGCCCUAGGGUCGUAAAGCACUUUCGCCAGAGAUGAUAAUGACAGUAUCUGGUAAAGAAACCCCGGCUAACUCCGUGCCAGCAGCCGCGGUAAUACGGAGGGGGUUAGCGUUGUUCGGAAUUACUGGGCGUAAAGCGCACGUAGGCGGAUCAGAAAGUAUAGGGUGAAAUCCCAGGGCUCAACCCUGGAACUGCCUUAUAAACUCCUGGUCUUGAGUUCGAGAGAGGUGAGUGGAAUUCCGAGUGUAGAGGUGAAAUUCGUAGAUAUUCGGAGGAACACCAGUGGCGAAGGCGGCUCACUGG
rnacentral:rRNA from 1 species